GCAGAGUCUUAGGGGGUUAUCUAAUGUAGUCUUGGGGUGGCUGGAUAGACUUCCCAAAGAAGGUGAUGCCGAAGCUGAGGUCGGAAAUUACGAAGAUCAGCUAUAAAUUUAAAAGUGGAAUUGCUAGGUUACAUGAUCUUUAAUAAAUGAAAUAAAUGUGACUGUAUGUCCUACAUCCCAUUCCUGUUGUCUUCCAUGUCUCCUCAGAGGAAGGCCUGAGGAGAGAAGACACAUAGUCAUGCUGACUAAACCAGAUCACCUAGAAUUACCAAAUGGAAAGAUUGUGCCUGCAGCCUGGCCUGUUGCCCACAGCGGUCUACCUGCCACACUGGGAAAGAUCGAGCAGAGACAGAGAAGAAAAGGAGGCUCCAUUUUUCAGGCUGCUCUCCCGCAGGCUCAUGUUUUGUGUUCAUGCCAGGCAGAGAACACAAAAUGUUCCAAUAAAUAAGUAUCAAAGGUUAGUGGUGAAAAUGAAGGAGGAGGAGGCAUUGCGUGAAAAACUAAACAUGCAAAAUAUUACACACAAAGAGAACCAAAAUGCAGGUUCACUGGAAAUGAUAGACAAUAUGUUAAAACAAGAGGAGAGAAGAGAGCUGAAAUAAUCAAAUGGAAACACACAAUUUAGGGCUAAGAUCUUGUUGUGUUCAGCCACAAAUGAUGGCCAGCAGUGAGGAAUCUGUGUGUUCUCCACACUCUUCGCUCCUGGGAAGUCAACUCACAUGGACCAUGAUAUCAAUAUCUGCUCCUUCCCCUAAUAUCUGUUUGACCUUGGGUCAGUUACUUAAACUUCCUAAGCCUUAGUUUCUUUGUCUGGAAAAUAGGGAUAGUUAUACCUACCACACAACCACUUUGUAAUGAAUAUGUUGGAAAUUAUAUGCAAAUUGGCUUCCGUUGGUGUUUGGAACAUAGUAGGUUUUUAACUGGAAUAUAAUAGCUACCAUUAUCAGUAUCAUCAUAUUAAUUUAUAUUUCCAUCUUCAGCCCUUAACCCAGGAUCUUCAGUAAAUGUUGAAUUCUCAAAUUUGUUAAAUUCACUUGUCUAUACUAAUAUUUUACUCUAGGUUUCUUAGAAUAUUCUAGAUAAUAUUAUUAUGUAGAAUAUGUUAUGUAAGCUUCAUCUUAUCUGUAAAUAUAGUUUUACUUUUUCCUUUCUAAUUUUUAUGUCGAUUACUUCUUUUUCUUGGCUUAUUGAAUUGGCUAGGAUUCCCGUACAGUGUUGAAUACGUGCAGCAAGACUGCACAUCUUGCCUUGUUCCUGGUCCCACAGAGAGAAUAUCCAGUACUUCACAAUAAGUAUGUGUUAAUUGUAGAUUUUAUUAGAUUGAGGAAGUUCCCUUUCCUUUCAAGUCAGUCUUUUUAUUUUAAACAUGUAUUGAAGUUUUGUCAAAUGUCUUCAUCUAUUGGAAUAAUUAUACAUAUCUCUUUUUUAUUCUGUUAAUAUUACAUUUCAAUCUUCUGUCUACCUAAAAUCCCUAGAAUAAUCUCCAUUUGGCUAUGAUGUGUUGUGCUUUUAUAUAUUACUGAAUUCUAUAUGCCAAUAUUAUUAAAAUUUUCUGUCUUUAUGAGAAA
ensembl:lncRNA CCDC26 CCDC26 long non-coding RNA